GUGGGGAAUUUUGGACAAUGGGCGCAAGCCUGAUCCAGCCAUGCCGCGUGAGUGAAGAAGGCCUUCGGGUUGUAAAGCUCUUUCAGCCGGAAAGAAAUCGCCAUUCUUAAUACGAGUGGUGGAUGACGGUACCGGAAGAAGAAGCACCGGCUAACUACGUGCCAGCAGCCGCGGUAAUACGUAGGGUGCGAGCGUUAAUCGGAAUUACUGGGCGUAAAGCGUGCGCAGGCGGUUUUGUAAGACAGGCGUGAAAUCCCCGGGCUCAACCUGGGAACUGCGCUUGUGACUGCAAGGCUAGAGUGUGUCAGAGGGAGGUAGAAUUCCACGUGUAGCAGUGAAAUGCGUAGAGAUGUGGAGGAAUACCGAUGGCGAAGGCAGCCUCCUGGGAUAACACUGACGCUCAUGCACGAAAGCGUGGGGAGCAAACAGGAUUAGAAACCCGGGUAGUCC
rnacentral:rRNA from 1 species